rnacentral:rRNA from 1 species
CCUACGGGAGGCUGCAGUAGGGAAUAUUGCUCAAUGGGGGAAACCCUGAAGCAGCAACGCCGCGUGGAGGAUGAAGGUUUUAGGAUUGUAAACUCCUUUUGUUAGAGAAGAUUAUGACGGUAUCUAACGAAUAAGCACCGGCUAACUCCGUGCCAGCAGCCGCGGUAAUACGGAGGGUGCAAGCGUUACUCGGAAUCACUGGGCGUAAAGAGUGCGUAGGCGGGGUAAUAAGUCAGAUGUGAAAUCCUGUAGCUUAACUACAGAACUGCAUUUGAAACUGUUACUCUGGAGUGUGGAAGGGGUAGGUGGAAUGCUUGGUGUAGGGGUAAAAUGCGUAGAGAUCAAGAGGAAUACUCAUUGCGAAGGCGACCUGCUGGAACAUUACUGACGCUGAUGCACGAAAGCGUGGGGAGCAAACAGGAUUAGAUACCCGGGUAGUC